CCUACGGGAGGCAGCAGUGAGGAAUAUUGGUCAAUGGGCGCGAGCCUGAACCAGCCAAGUCGCGUGAAGGAUGACUGCCCUACGGGUUGUAAACUUCUUUUGUAAAGGAAUAAAGUGCGGCACGUGUGCCUUUUUGUAUGUACUUUAAGAAUCCGGAUCGGCUAACUCCGUGCCAGCAGCCGCGGUAAUACGGAGGAUCCGAGCGUUAUCCGGAUUUAUUGGGUUUAAAGGGAGCGUAGAGGGGUAGUUCAGUCCGUUGGGAAAGGUUGCGGCUCAACCGUAAAAUUGCAAUUGAUACUGGCAGCCUUGAGUACAGGUGAGGUAGGCGGAAUUCGUGGUGUAGCGGUGAAAUGCUUAGAUAUCACGAAGAACUCCGAUUGCGAAGGCAGCUUACUAAACUGCCACUGACAUUGAUGCUCGAAAGUGUGGGUAUCAAACAGGAUUAGAUACCCGUGUAGUC
rnacentral:rRNA from 1 species